rnacentral:rRNA from 1 species
CGACACGGUGACGUGGGGCGGAUCCCUGAAAACCGGUCUCAGUUCGGAUCGCAGUCUGCAACUCGACUGCGUGAAGGUGGAGUCGCUAGUAAUCGCGGAUCAGCAACGCCGCGGUGAAUGCGUUCCCGGGCCUUGUACACACCGCCCGUCAAGUCAUGAAAGUGGGCAGCACCCGAAGACGGUGGCCUAACCCUUGUGGGGGGAGCCGUCUAAGGUGAGGCUCGUGAUUGGGACUAAGUCGUAACAAGGUAUC